rnacentral:rRNA from 1 species
UGGGUUUGACAUGUAGGGAGCAAUCCCGUGAAAGCGGGAGGAUUGCCUUCGGGUGUAACCUACAC